GCCGGGCUUGGUGGCGCACGCCUUUAAUCCCAGCACUCGGGAGGCAGAGGCAGGCGGAUUUCCGAGUUCGAGGCCAGCCUGGUCUACAAAGUGAGGUCCAAGACAGCCAGGGCUACACAGAGAAACUCUGUCUCGAAAAAAAAGAAAAAAGAUUUCACUGUGUAGCUUUUGCUGUCCUGGAACUUGCUCUGUAAACAAGGCUGGUCUCGAACUCAUAGAGAUCUGCCUGCCU
rnacentral:lncRNA from 1 species